AGAAAAACCUGACUAGACCCGGGAGCUCGGGACGGCGGGGACGGCCUCGGGCCUCCUGUGGCGCCCAGAAGCGGAGCCGGCGGCCCAAGAUGCGCCCUGCCCGGCGUCGCGGCGGCCGAAGGCAGCUCCUGCUGCGCGCCCUGGACGCCGUCGCCACCUGCUGGGAGAAGCUCUUCGCGCUGCGCGCCCCGGCCUCCAGGGACUCCUAGCGCGGCCCGUCCUGGCCCUGCGCGGGGAGGAGAACCAGCGGGGCCGCGGCAGAGCCUGGAGACGCGCCUCGUUCUGUAGACUUGUUGGUGACCUCGGCCCCUCGCUCGACGCAGCCCGCGCUCCCCGGAGGGCCCAGGACUUGGAGAAGGGAGCGCGCCUGGCCGCCGCUGGGUCACGGAGGAGGCCCGCCCUCCACGCGCCGAAGGCCUCAAUAAACGGAGCUGGCGCUGCGGGUCCGGCACUCCCUUCGCCUGCCUCUCUGUGGGCCUAGGACCGCCCCGGGAUCUGCGCCUCGGUGGCGGGGGGCGGUGGAGGGGGAAUGCGGAGACCCGCACUUCCUGUGGCACCUGGACGGGGCGGAGCCGCCGCUCCCAGCCUCGGGCAGCAGAGGGCGGACGCGGGACGCUGGGCGCGCUCCGGCUCUGUCAGCGGCUCCCGGCUGGGCGGAGGGCAGAGCGGGGGACUCCUGGGGCCCCUAAAACGUCACGUAUCCGUCCUGCUCCACUUUGGACCGGGGCCGGGGGUGGAAAUUGAGGGGAGGGGAAGGCUGGACUUGGUGAAUUCGGAGCAAAACAACCGGAUAAAGGAAACGGGCCCGAAGGGAAGCGGGAGCUGCGGGCCUUGGCUGUGAGCUUGGCCAGGCUAUUUCCUGCUGCCUCCGGAGGGGUGACCACGGCCUGGGCUCAGAGACUGCCCAGCCCCCUCUGCAGGACUGGCCAGGCUGGGGCCCGCUUUCUGGCCCCUGGAACCCUCCAUUUGCUGGGGGACUGUCCCCUGGUUCCCCCAUCUGAUGCGCAGGUCUGGGAGUCUGUCACCCCCCUCCCCCAAUCUCGGCCCAUGGAGGAGCAGGGGAGGUAAAGUACCUGACACCUGUUACCCUCCCCUUCCCGGAAAGGCCGCGAGCAGGCUGUGCCUCUGGCAUUCUGUGGGAUCAGGGGCAGCAGCAGAAGAAAGAAGUAACCUCCCAAGCUGACCCUGACCCAGCCCCACACUCUGUGUUAAUGUAUUUAGUCUGUGCAACGGGAGCUACUGUCUCUGUUUUAUAGAUGGGGAAACUGAAGCACGAGGAGGCUGAGACUUGCCCCAAAUCACAGCCAGCAAUGUAAGAGCUGGCCUCAGACCCAGGCCCAGGGCAUGGGAUCUGCCACAUGUCCCCUGCCUGGAGGCUGGGGGCCAAGCUUCCUGGACUUCAGAGCCUUGGA
rnacentral:lncRNA from 10 species